UACGGAGGGUGCAAGCGUUGUCCGGAAUUACUGGGCGUAAAGCGUGCGCAGGCGGUCUUGCAAGACAGAUGUGAAAUCCCCGGGCUUAACCUGGGAACUGCAUUUGUGACUGCAAGGCUAGAGUACGGUAGAGGGGGAUGGAAUUCCGCGUGUAGCAGUGAAAUGCGUAGAUAUGCGGAGGAACACCGAUGGCGAAGGCAAUCCCCUGGACCUGUACUGACGCUCAUGCACGAAAGCGUGGGGAGCAAACAGG
rnacentral:rRNA from 1 species